rnacentral:lncRNA from 1 species
UGGGGUCGUGGGAGGGUUGAAGCAUUGCGGGCCCUGCACCCUGGAGACCCUGCCAUCCUGUGGUGGCUCAGGCCUGCCCCGUAGGCAGAACGGUCACAGGACACACGGGGCCAGUGUGGGGUGCGGACCAGAGCCCAGCCCUAAGCCUGGUCCAGCCCGCAAGUCAACAAUGGCUUUUACAUUUUUAAAUGGUUGGAAAAAAAUCAAAAAAAAAAACAAUACUCUGUGAGAGGUGGGAGUUCCAUGAAAUUCAGGCCUCGGGGUCAGCAGGGCACAGCCUGGCUCACUCGCCUGCAGGCCACGCAGGAGUCCCUCACGGGAGACGGGUUGGGCAUUUCCGACACUCCCCUUCUGUAGCCAAACCCUGAGCGGGUCAGGGCGGGGCAGGGCUUGGGUGGGAGCGGCGACUAGCGGAGGUGCCACGGGACAGAAGCUGCUUGCACUGGGCCCUGAGCUGGUUUGGCUCUGACAGGAGCCCUGCCCGUUCUGUGUGAGGACUGCACACCUGCCAGGGCCAACCUCAGCUCCUUCGCCACUCACCCACCCACGCACUCACCCACGUGGCACCUGGGGUCACGCGUGCCGCUAGAAACACAGGCUCCUACCAGGCCCCGCCUGCUCCUCACUGAUGCCUUUAGGCCCAAGGCAGAAGUGGUGCCCAGCUGCACCCAGGGCAGGAAGCGAGCUGCUCACCAGCCUCCUGCUCCCCUGCGCUCACUCAGAAAACCUUUCUUGAGCUGGAGCCAGUCUCAGGCAACUGACCCUGUGGGCCCCAUCUGGACAGGAGGGAGGCCUGUCCUAGGAGAGCAGGGACAGCACAGUCCCCUCCCGUGGGUGCUCGGAAGAGAAGAGAGGACCCUGCAGAGAAAAGCAAACGUCCCUGUCACAGAGGCUGGACAGCUGGCUCUGUUAAGCCCUCUCCGGGGUUUUUCCAGCACACGCCAGGGGAUCUCCAGAGAUGGUAUCGCUGAACCGCCCCGAUCCGCUGCCAGAGGAGUCAAGAGCCCCGUGAGGGGUGCCGGGGGCCCUGCCCUGGCUGGCGAGGCCCACUAAGGAGCAAGAGCUCCCGGGACACAGCUGCCAGCCACGUGCCAACCUGAGGGUCCCAUCGCAAGGGUGACUGUGGGAAACUGGCACCGAUGCUCUUCCCGAAAUCCACCCUGCUGGCCUUCCCGAGUGCAGCUGUGGGUCCUGGGUCCCCCUGUGUUCCGUCCACUCAUGAUGGACAGAUGCUAGUACAGGAUGAGCAGCUACGGAAAAGGCUCCCAGGCCAGGUGCAGUGGCUCACGCCUGUAAUCCC